UAGUCUUAGAAUUUCCCAUUCAUGGUCAC
rnacentral:piRNA from 1 species